rfam:Rattus norvegicus chromosome 5, whole genome shotgun sequence.
GGGGAUUUAGCUCAGUGGUAGAGCGCUUGCCUAGCAAGCGAAAGGCCCUGGGUUCGGUCCCCAGCUCCA